CAUUGCAUAUUGGAGGUGUUCACAUACUCCACAAAGCUGCUUACAUUAGUAAAUAUUACAAAAUUUACAUUAAAAAGCUAUAAGGCAAGCGUGUAGAUUGAAAUUUAACAUAAAUAAAAAAAAAAAAAAAAAAAAAAAAAAAAAAAUUAAUCGUUAAUUGCAACUUCUUCUGCGCGUUCGAUUAUCAACAAAGUUAAUUGAAAAAAACAAGUGAGAAAUUGAUUACGACUCGCGGCGAAUCUUGGAUACACAGCACCUAAGUUCGUCUUGUGCACCAAAUGUGGGUGCCAAUGAGUGUUAUUGCUAUACGGUUUUGCUGUUACCGUUUGUCGAUGUUGAUGUUCUUAAAGAAAGCGGUUGCUUGCGGAAGUUAUUGAGUUUUUCAAAUAAA